AACCGGGAUUGCCUUAGUAACGGCGAGUGAAGCGGCAAAAGCUCAAAUUUGAAAUCUGGUACCUUCGGUGCCCGAGUUGUAAUUUGGAGAGGGCAACUUUGGGGCCGUUCCUUGUCUAUGUUCCUUGGAACAGGACGUCAUAGAGGGUGAGAAUCCCGUGUGGCGAGGAGUGCGGUUCUUUGUAAAGUGCCUUCGAAGAGUCGAGUUGUUUGGGAAUGCAGCUCUAAGUGGGUGGUAAAUUCCAUCUAAAGCUAAAUAUUGGCGAGAGACCGAUAGCGAACAAGUACAGUGAUGGAAAGAUGAAAAGAACUUUGAAAAGAGAGUGAAAAAGUACGUGAAAUUGUUGAAAGGGAAGGGCAUUUGAUCAGACAUGGUGUUUUGUGCCCUCUGCUCCUUGUGGGUAGGGGAAUCUCGCAUUUCACUGGGCCAGCAUCAGUUUUGGUGGCAGGAUAAAUCCAUAGGAAUGUAGCUUGCCUCGGUAAGUAUUAUAGCCUGUGGGAAUACUGCCAGCUGGGACUGAGGACUGCGACGUAAGUCAAGGAUGCUGGCAUAAUGGUUAUAUGCCGCCC
rnacentral:rRNA from 1 species